AUACUUACCUGGCAGGGGAGAUACCAUGAUCACGAAGGUGGUUCACCCAGGGUGAGGCAUAGCCAUUGUACUGCGGCUGUGCUGACCCCUGCGAAUUCCCCAAAUGUGGGAAUCUCGACUGCAUAAUUUCUGGUAGUGGGGGACUGCGUUCGCGCUCUCCCCUG